rnacentral:misc_RNA from 1 species
UUAAAAAUUAGGUAUUCAAAUAUUCAGGGUAAAAAAAGGGGAGGGGUAAGAUGGGAGGGUAAAAUGGGAGAAGAGACUUAUUAUAUUUCCUUCAAUCUUAGUUACCUAAAUCACUAAGAUAUCUAAAAACAAAACCCUCUUUGACCUCCCACCCUCUUUGAUCUCCCACCUCCAGUUAACAGUGUAUUGGUUUCCCAAAAUCAUAAUGAUCCAGCCGAAGGUUCACCUACGGCUA